rnacentral:tRNA from 1 species
GGUUAUUUAGUUUAUAAAAAAAUAGAUAUUUUGAAAGUAUUAGAAAAGAGAUUAUCUCUUAAUGACCG